UACAGAGGUCUCAAGCGUUGUUCGGAUUCAUUGGGCGUAAAGGGUGCGUAGGUGGCGCGCUAAGUCAGGUGUGAAAUCUCGGGGCUUAACUCCGAAACUGCGUUUGAUACUGGCGUGCUUGAGGACUGGAGAGGAGACUGGAAUUCAUGGUGUAGCAGUGAAAUGCGUAGAGAUCAUGAGGAAGACCAGUGGCGAAGGCGGGUCUCUGGACAGUUCCUGACACUGAGGCACGAAGGCCAGGGGAGCAAACGGG
rnacentral:rRNA from 1 species